rnacentral:rRNA from 1 species
GAUGAACGCUAGCGAUAGGCUUAACACACGCAAGUCGAGGGGCAGCACAAGGUAGCUUGCUAUCUGGGUGGCGACCGGCGCACGGGUGCGUAACGCGUAUGCAACUUGCCCUAUACAGGAGGAUAACCCGUCAAAAGACGGACUAAUACUGCGUAUGCUCACAACUUGGCAUCAAGUGGUGAGGAAAGAAAUUCGGUAUAGGAUAGGCAUGCGUCCCAUUAGCUUGUUGGUGAGGUAACGGCUCACCAAGGCAACGAUGGGUAGGGGAACUGAGAGGUUUAUCCCCCACACUGGUACUGAGACACGGACCAGACUCCUACGGGAGGCAGCAGUGAGGAAUAGUGGUCAAUGGGCGCGAGCCUGAACCAGCCAAGUCGCGUGAAGGAUGACUGUCUUAUGGAUUGUAAACUUCUUUUAUACGGGAAUAACAAGAGUCACGUGUGACUCCCUGCAUGUACCGUAUGAAUAAGCAUCGGCUAACUCCGUG